rnacentral:lncRNA from 1 species
AGCCUUCCCUUUGGAGAGCAAGCACAGUCAACUGCCAGUAAGCAAGGUCCCAGGCUAGACACACAACCUCAGAUUCAAAGGGCAGUUUAUACUAGAAUGGGUUUAGUAGGCAUCCCUCGUCUCUUGCUUGGCUUCUUUAACCAAUGUUCUCCCAGAUUCUGUCUCCAAAGGGUAGCUCUGUUUGUUGGACCUGCCCCUAGGGAACUCAUGCUAGUGUCUUGGCAGCUGUGUACCUGUCCUACUUCUGUCCUGACUGAACAGCUGAGCUGGCCCCUCCACAGAGCAGUACCUGUGCAGUGCUUUAUGUAGGGCAGGUGUGUUAGAGGGAACUUAUUCAUCCACAGAGCAGUAUUUGUUCCAGUGCUUUACGCAUGCAGGUAUGGCAGAGGGAAAACUUACCCUUUGGGCUUAGUACUUAUGCCCCUAAGCAGCCCCUGACCUAAGACAGUCAGGUGGGUCUGUGAUGUGUGCCUGAUGUCAGGGUCCCCUUUCCUGUCUGAGGAUUUUGAGGCCUAAUCUUAGGAGCAUGUUUCUUCAGGAAGGAGAGAGCUGGAAUCUAAACUGACCUUGUCUGAAGGUGCAGAUAGGCAGCUGGAUCCUGGAGAGCACCUGAAUCAGGGGUGGCCUCACCUGUCUACCCAUCUAACCUCCAAAGGAGACACCAGCAAUUGUCCAAAAGUGGGAUGUGUGGGAGAAAA